UACGAAGGGUCCAAGCGUUGUUCGGAAUUACUGGGCGUAAAGGGUUUGUAGGCUGAAGCAUAAGUCAAGUGUGAAAUCCCCGAGCUUAACUUGGGACGUGCAUUUGAAACUGUGUUUCUUGAGUUACGUAGAGGAUGGUGGAAUUGUAGGUGUAGGAGUGACAUCCGUAGAGAUCUACAGGAACAUCGGAGGCGAAGGCGACCAUCUGGACGAUAACUGACGCUGAGGAACGAAAGCGUGGGGAGCAAACAGG
rnacentral:rRNA from 1 species